UUGGGGUGAUGGUGGAAGAAGGACUUUGGAGGGAGCUUAGGAAGGGGUGGACAUGGAGGCUUCUUGAAAGGUGGCAACUUUGGAAGAGGAGGAAGAGGCUUCCAUGGUGGAAGCUUUGGUAGUGGAGGAAGAGGCUUCCAUGGUGGAAGCUUUGGUAGUGGAGGAAGAGGUUUCACAAAUGGUGGACAUGGUGGUUUACCAAUAACUACUGGUGGUGGCUUGUAAAUUGGAACAGGAGGUGGAAGAAUCUUGGGGGGAAGAGGUGGAAGAAUCUUGGGAGGAAGAGGAGGACAUGAUGGCUUUGGAACAGGUGGAGGAAGAGGUUUAACAUAUGGUGGUGAUGGUGAUGGUGAUGGUGGAGGCUUAGUCUUUGGUGGAGAUGGUUUUGGUGAUGGUGGAGGCUUGGUCUUU
rnacentral:lncRNA from 1 species